rnacentral:rRNA from 1 species
GCUGACCAGCUAGCCCACCCAAACAAAAACAACAACCCAAUAUAAAUAACCCCAAACACACUACUCCUCCUAUAAACAAACCAUUUUACCCCCCUAGUAUGGGCGACAGAAAAGGAACUAUUGGAGCGAUAGAGAAAGUACCGCAAGGGAACGCUGAAAGAGAAAUGAAAUAACCCAGUAAAGCCUAAAAAAGCAGAGAUUUUACCUCGUACCUUUUGCAUCAUGAUUUAGCUAGUACUACCCAAGCAAAGAGAACUUUAGUUUGGACCCCCGAAACUAGGUGAGCUACUCCAAGACAGCCUAUCAAUAGGGCAAACCCGUCUCUGUGGCAAAAGAGUGGGAAGAGCUUUGAGUAGAGGUGACAGACCUACCGAACCUAGUUAUAGCUGGUUGCCUGAGAAUUGGAUAGGAGUUCAGCCUCCAGGCUUCUCUAUUCACCGCGGUCUUACCCCUACCGAUGCACUAAAGAAGCCUAGAGAGUUAAUCAAAGGGGGUACAGCCCCUUUGAGACAAGAUACAACUUUUCCAGGAGGGUAAAGAUCAUAUUUACCCAAGGUAACAAUGCCCAGGUGGGCCUAAAAGCAGCCAUCCUUACAGAAAGCGUUAAAGCUCAAGCAUUACACCUUCCCACAUAUUCAGAUAACCAUAUCCCAACCCCCUAAUAUUAUCAGGCCAUCUCAUGCAUACAUGAGAGUGCACAUGCUAAUAUGAGUAACAAGAGAGCCUCCGCCUCUCUCCUUGCACACGUGUAAAUCGGAACGAACCCCCACCGAAACUUAACGGCCCCAAACAAAGAGGGCAAUGAACAACAAGUAAGCAACCAGAAAACCAUCCAAAAAACAACCGUUAACCCCACACUGGUGUGCCAUUAAGGAAAGACUAAAAGAAAAAGAAGGAACUCGGCAAACAUACCAAGCCUCGCCUGUUUACCAAAAACAUCGCCUCUUGCAAAAACAAAGAAUAAGAGGUCCAGCCUGCCCUGUGACUAUAUGUUUAACGGCCGCGGUAUUUUAACCGUGCGAAGGUAGCGCAAUCACUUGUCUUUUAAAUGGAGACCUGUAUGAAUGGCAUUACGAGGGCUUAACUGUCUCCUUUUUCUAGUCAGUGAAAUUGAUCUCCCCGUGCAGAAGCGGGGAUAUAACCAUAAGACGAGAAGACCCUAUGGAGCUUUAGACACCAAGGCAUAUCAUGUCAAACACCCCUAAACAAAGGACUAAACCAAAUGAAUCAUGCCCCCAUGUCUUUGGUUGGGGCGACCGCGGGGAAAUAAAAAACCCCCACGUGGAAUGGGAGUACUACCUCCUACAACCAAGAGCUGCAGCUCUAAAAAACAGAAUAUCUGACCAAUAAGAUCCGGCAACGCCGAUCAACGGACCGAGUUACCCUAGGGAUAACAGCGCAAUCCCCUUUUAGAGCCCAUAUCGACAAGGGGGUUUACGACCUCGAUGUUGGAUCAGGACAUCCUAAUGGUGCAGCCGCUGUUAAGGGUUCGUUUGUUCAACGAUUAAAGUCCUACGUGAUCUGAGUUCAGACCGGAGUAAUCCAGGUCAGUUUCUAUCUAUGAUAUGUUCUUUUCUAGUACGAAAGGACCGAAAAGAAGAGGCCAAUGCUAAAAGCACGCCUCACCCCUCCUAUUGAAAACAACUAAAAUAGGCAAAAGGGCAUACCCCUCCACGCCCAAGAUAAUGGCAU